UACGGAGGAUGCAAGCGUUAUCCGGAAUGAUUGGGCGUAAAGGGUCCGCAGGUGGCAGUGUAAGUCUGCUGUCAAAGAAUGAGGCUUAACCUCAUCAAGGCAGUGGAAACUACACAGCUAGAGUACGGUCGGGGUAGAAGGAAUUCCUGGUGUAGCGGUGAAAUGCGCAGAUAUCAGGAAGAACACCAAUGGCGAAAGCAGCUCUCUGGGACGGUACUGACGCUGAGACGCGAAAGCGUGGGGAGCGAACAGG
rnacentral:rRNA from 1 species